GCCAGACUCCUACGGGAGGCAGCAGUGGGGGAUAUUGCACAAUGGGGGGAACCCUGAUGCAGCGACGCCGCGUGGGUGAAGAAGCGCCUCGGCGCGUAAAGCCCUGUCAGCAGGGAAGAAAAUGACGGUACCUGAAGAAGAAGCCCCGGCUAACUACGUGCCAGCAGCCGCGGUAAUACGUAGGGGGCAAGCGUUAUCCGGAUUUACUGGGUGUAAAGGGGGCGCAGACGGCGAUGCAAGCCAGGAGUGAAAGGCCGGGGCCCAACCCCGGGACUGCUCUUGGAACUGGGUGGGUGGAGUGCAGGAGGGGGAGGCGGAAUUCCUGGGGGAGCGGGGAAAUGCGUAGAUAUCAGGAGGAACACCGGUGGCGAAGGCGGCCUGCUGGGCUGCAACUGACGUUGAGGCUCGAAAGCGUGGGGAGCAAACAGGAUUAGAUACCCCCGUAA
rnacentral:rRNA from 1 species